UGGGGUGUAGCCAAGCGGUAAGGCAUCGGAUUCUGAUUCCGAUUCCGACAUUCCCAGGUUCAAAUCCUGGUACCCCAGCCA
rnacentral:tRNA from 1 species